rnacentral:rRNA from 1 species
AUUGAACGCUGGCGGCAGGCCUAACACAUGCAAGUCGAGCGGAUGAAGGGAGCUUGCUCCUGGAUUCAGCGGCGGACGGGUGAGUAAUGCAUAGGAAUCUGCCUGGUCGUGGGGGAUAACGUACGGAAACGGGCGCUAAUACCGCAUACGUCCUGAGGGUGAAAGUGGGGGAUCUUCGGACCUCACGCUAUCAGCUGAGACUAGGUCGUAUUAGCUAGUUGGUGGGGUAAAGGCCUACCAAGGCGACGAUCCGUAACUGGUCUGAGAGGAUGAUCAGUCACACUGGAACUGAGACACGGUCCAGACUCCUACGGGAGGCAGCAGUGGGGAAUAUUGGACAAUGGGCGAAAGCCUGAUCCAGCCAUGCCGCGUGUGUGAAGAAGGUCUUCGGAUUGUAAAGCACUUUAAGUUGGGAGGAAGGGCAGUAAGUUAAUACCUUGCUGUUUUGACGUUACCAACAGAAUAAGCACCGGCUAACUUCGUG